rnacentral:rRNA from 1 species
AUAAGCGGAGGAAAAGAAACCAACAGGGAUUGCCCUAGUAACGGCGAGUGAAGCGGCAACAGCUCAAAUUUGAAAUCUGGCUUCCCUUGGGGGUCCGAGUUGUAAUUUGCAGAGGGUGCUUUGGCAUUGGCGGCGGUCUAAGUUCCUUGGAACAGGACAUCGCAGAGGGUGAGAAUCCCGUACGUGGGCGCCUGCCUUUGCCGUGUAAAGCCCCUUCGACGAGUCGAGUUGUUUGGGAAUGCAGCUCUAAAUGGGAGGUAAAUUUCUUCUAAAGCUAAAUACCGGCCAGAGACCGAUAGCGCACAAGUAGAGUGAUCGAAAGAUGAAAAGUACUUUGGAAAGAGAGUAAAAUAGCACGUGAAAUUGUUGAAAGGGAAGCGCUUGCAGCCAGACUUGCCCGCAGUUGCUCACCCCGGCUCUUUGCCUGGGGCACUCUUCUGCGGGCAGGCCAGCAUCAGUUUGGGCGGUCGGAUAAAGGCCUCUGUCACGUAUCUUCCUUCGGGAUGACCUUAUAGGGGAGGCGUAAUGCGACCAGCCCGGACUGAGGUCCGCGCAUCUGCUAGGAUGCUGGCGUAAUGGCUGUAAGCGGCCCGUCUUGAAACACGGACCAAGGAGUCUAACAUCUAUGCGAGUGUUUGGGUGUCAAGCCCGGGCGCGUAAUGAAAGUGAACGGAGGUGGGAACCCUUUGGGUGCACCAUCGACCGAUCCUGAUGUCUUCGGAUGGAUUUGAGUAAGAGCAUAGCUGUUGGGACCCGAAAGAUGGUGAACUAUGCUUGAAUAGGGUGAAGCCAGAGGAAACUCUGGUGGAGGCUCGCAGCGGUUCUGACGUGCAAAUCGAUCGUCAAAUUUGGGCAUAGGGGC